rnacentral:piRNA from 1 species
UGACAAGCCAAGGUAGCCUGGCCUGCACU